rnacentral:lncRNA from 1 species
GCUAGGCUUGCAUGUUCUGCAAACUCAGCCGCUGCUUGAGCAGCAGAGGUAGCAUCCUUAAAUUUCAUGUUCCAAUUCUGCCUGCCAGCAGAAACAUAACUAUCACCAUCUCCAGGAAAUGAUUGCCCAUGUUCCAACAUUUCAUCCUUGAAACCUAUGUGGUAUGAACCACCGUCAUUAUGAACCACCAUUAUUAACACAAUAUUGCCUUGAAAGUUCUACAACAGCUCUGGCGCUAGGCUUGCAUAUUCUGCAAACUCAGUCGCUUCUUCAGCAAUAGAGGUAGUAUCCUUAAAUUUCAUAUUCCACUUCUACCUGCCAACAGAAAUAUUACCAUUACCAUCUCCAGGAAAUUACCUAGGUGGCGUGAACCACCACUAUCAACACAAUAUUGCCCUGAAAGUUCUGCAAUAGCUCUUGCACCUAGGAUUGCAUAUUCUGCAAACUUAGCCCCCGCUUGAGUAGCAGAGGUAGCAUCCUUAAAUUUCAUGUUCCAAUUCUGCCUUCCAACAAAAACAUUACCUUUUCCAUCUCCAGGAAAUGAUUGCCCAUGUUCCAACCUUUCAUCCUUGAAACCUAAGUGGCAUGAACCACCAUCAUCAAUACAAUAUUGCCUUGAAAGUCCUACAACAGCUCUGGCAGCUAGGCUUGCAUAUUCUGCAAACGCAGCCGCUGCUUGAGUAGCAGAGGUAGCAUCCUUAAAUUUUAUGUUCCAAUUCUGCCUGCUAACCAAAAC